UUUUUUUUUCAAAACGCUCGUGCGCCGCCGCCCAACGGUCAGAUCUGCACUGACGCGAAAAUAAAACCCAAAUCUGCCCACCCCCAAGGAAAAUAAAUUAAGGGUGUCAUUUUUCAUGACGAGGAAAUCGUUUUUAUGAUACAGUUGUAUCUACCCUACACUCUUGCCGUUCUAGCCUAAAAUGAACUGCUCUUACACUCAACUGAACACUUUUUUUCAUCACCAAUCAUCUGGCAUCGAACACGGCACCGGAAAAGACAGUGGCAGAAACAGCCGUGUUGACCCUGCAAAGUCCUCCUCACUAACAUCUGGGGGUUAGUGCCAAAAUUGGGGGAGCUGUCUCACAGACUAGGCAAAAAACAGCCUGACAAAGUCAUACUCACAGAAUCAUACCUUAUAGACAAUGUCCCAGACACCGCCAUCACCAUCCGUGGAUAUGUUCUGUCUUACUGGCUGGACAGACCCAGCAGAGGGGCGGCACAGUGGUAUAUAGUCGAGAGGGUGUUGCUCUGGGAGUCCUCAACAUUGACUCCGGACCCCAUGAAGUCUCAUGGCUUCAAGUUAAACAUGGGCAAGGAAAUCUCCUGCUGAUUAAUCAGUAUUCCUCAAUGUUGAACAACACCUAGAAGAAGCACUGAGGAUGGCAAGGGCACAAAAUGUACUCUGGGUGGGGGAUUUCAAUGUCCACCACCAAGAGUGGCUCAGCAGCAGUACUACAGAUCAAGCCGUUCGGGUCCUAAAGGAUAUAGCUGCUAGACUGGGUCUGCGGCAGGUGGUGAGGGAACCAACAAGAGGGAAAAACAUACCUGACCUCAUCCUCACUAAUCUGCCAUGUGCAGUUGCAUCUGUCUAUGACAGUAUCAGUAAGAGUGACCAUUGCACAGCCUUUGUGGAGAUGAAGUCCCGCCUUCACAUUGAGAACAACCUCCAUCGUGUUGUGUGGCACUAUCACCGUGCUAAAUGGGACAGACUUCGCACAGAUCUAGCAACGCAAGGAUGGACAUCCAUGAGACGCUGUGGGCCAUCAACAGCAACAGAAUUGUACUCCAACACAAUCUGUAGUCUCGUGGCCCAGCAUAUUCCCCACUCAACCAUUACCAUCAAGCCAGGGGAUCAACACUGGUUCAAUGGAGAGUGCAGGAGGGCAUGCCAAGAGCAGCAUCAGGCAUACCUGAAGAUGAAGUAUCAACCUGGUGAAGCCACCAAACAGAACUACUUGCACGCCAAACAGCGAAAGCAGCAAGUGAUAGACAGAGCUAAGCGAUCCCACAACCAACGGAUCAGAUCUAAGCUCUGCAGUCCUGCCACAUCGAGUCGUGAAUGGUGGUGGACAAUUAAACAGCUCACUGGAGGAGGAGGCUACACAAAUAUCCCCAUCCUCAAUGAUGGAAGAGCCUAGCACAUCAGUGCAAAAGAUAAGGGUGAAGCAUUCGCCAGAAUCUUCUGCCAGAAGUGCCGAGUGGAUGAUCCAUCUCGGCCUCCUCCAGUGGUCGCCAGCAUUACAGAUAACAGGCUUCAGCCAAUUCAAUUCACUCCAUGUGAUAUCAAGAAACGGUUGGAGACACUGGAUGCUGCAAAGGCUGCCGGUCCUGACAACAGUCCGACAAUAGUGCUGAAGAUUUGUGCUCCAGAACUUGCCGCUCCCUUAGCCAAGCAGUUCCAGUAUAGUUACAACACAGGUAUCUACCCGACAAUGUGGAAAAUUGUCCAAGUGCAUCCUGUGUAUAAAAAGCAGGACCAAUCCAACCCGGCCAGUUACCGCCCCAUCAGUCUCCUCUUGGUCAUCAGUAACGUGAUGGAACAUGUCAUCAACAGUGCUAUCAAGCAGCACCUGCUCAGAAAUAACCUGCUCAGUGAAGCCCAGUUUGGGUUCCACCAGGGCCACUCAGCUUCUGACCUCAUUACAGCCUUGGUUCAAACAUGGACAAAAGAGCUGAAUUCCAGAGGUGAGAUGAGAGUGACAGCCCUUAAUAUCAAGGCUGCAUUCGACUGAGUGUGGCAUCAAGGAGCCCUAGCUAAACUGGAAUCAAUGGGUAUCAAGGGGCAAACUCUUUGCUGGUUGGAGUCCUGACACAUAGGAAGAUGGUCGUGGUUGUAGGUGGUCAAUCAUCUCGGCUCCAGGACAUCUCUGCAGGAGUUCCUCAGAGUAGUGUCCUAGGUCCAACCAUCUUCAGCUGCUUCAUCCAUGACCUUCCCUCCAUCAUAAGGUCAGAGAUGGGGAUGUUCGCCGAUGAUUGCCAAAUGUUAGCAGCAUUCGUGACUGCUCAGAUACUGAAGCUGUCCAUGUUCACUUGCAACAAGAUCUGGACGAUAUCCAGGCUUGGGCUGACAAGUGGCAAGUGACAUUCAUGCCACACAAAUGCCAGGCUAUGACCAUCACCAAUAAGAGACUAUCAAACCACUACCCAUUGACAUUCAAUGGUGUUACCAUCACUGAAUCCCCCACUAUUAACAUCCUGGGGGUUACCGUUGACCAGAAACUCGACUGGACUCACCACAUUAACAGAGUGGCUGCAAGAGCAGGCCAGAAGCUGGGAAUACUGCGGCGAGUAACUCAUCUCCUGACUCCUCAAAGGCUGGCCACCAUCUACAAGGCACAAGUUAGGAGUGUGAUGGAAUACUCCCCACCUGCCUGGAUGAGUGCAGCCCCAACAACACUCAAGAAGCUUAACACCAUCCAGGACAAAGCAGCCGGCUUGAUUGGCACUACAUCCACAAGCAUUCAUUCCCUCCAUUACUGACGCUCAGUAGCAGCAGUGUGUACUAUCUGCAAAAUGUGCUGCAGAAAUUCACCAAAGAUCCUCAGACAGCACCUUCCUAACCCACGACCACUUCCAUCUCGAAGGACAAGGGCAGCAGAUAUAUAGGAACACCACCAACUCCAAGUUCGCCUCCAAGUCACUCACCAUCCUGACUUAGAAAUAUAUCGCCGUUCCUUCACUGUCACAGGGUCAAAAUCCUGGAAUUCCCUCCCUAAUAGCAUUGUGGGUCAGCCCACAGCAGGUGGACUGCAGCGGUUCAAGAAGGCAGCUUACCACCACCUUUUCAAUGGCAACUAGGGAUGGGCAAGAAAUGUUGGCCAGCCAGCAACGCCCACAUCCCCCCCAGAAAAAAAAAGAAAACAAUGGUCUUUUCAUCUAUCAACUACCAUCAGUAAAUCACCAGGCUUUUCUCAUUGAUUAAUUUUUAUGCUCAGUCUGUUAAAAGGCAGACCAUCAAAGGUGAGGAACAGGUUGGGAGAGAGGAGAGCUGUGACUUUUUUUUCCCUAAGGAAACCUAUGACUUAAACUGCACAAGAUGCAUGUUUAGAUAAUUGCUGAAGUGCUUCCUAUUUUAAGAUGCAUGACCCUGAACAAGACAGCUGGAGAGCAGAGACAACAAGGUGCAGGGCUGGAUGAACACAGCAGGCCGAGCAGAGAGGCUGACGUUUCGGGCCUAGACCCUUCAUCAGAAAUGGGGGAGGGGAUACUUAAACAUUUGAGCUACCUUAAUCUUUCCAGGGAAAUUGACUAGAUUGGCCACUUCUCAGAACUACUGUUGAGCAUCUCAAAGCCUUUCAUGAGUCUUUCCAUUACACAGUGAGAAAUGUUUUUUCCUUUGGUAUUCUUGUGAAUUGGCCCAAUGCAUAUAAGACAAGAGGUUUUGAUAAAAUGAGCCUUCUUCAACAAUAUAUAACUUAUUUCCUCUUUAUUUCUGUAAGAAACUUGCCAUUUUUGUUAAAAUUGCAUAGACAACCUCUUAUGAAUAUGUUCAAUGGUAGACCACCAUGGUAACCAAAUUGUAAUAAUAAAACUGUGCUAUCGGAGCUGUCAUAUUUAAAAUUCUGUGGCACAAUUGGAGCAGGGAAAAUCUUCGUCAACAUAAACAAAGCACGAGAGAAACUCAACAGGUCUGGCAAGAUCUAUGGAGAGAAAAACUGUUUUUCGAGUCCAGCAACCUUCCUUCCGAACAGGUCCUCUCAAUUCUCCAUCUUGGCUAUAACUGAACCCUGACUCGACAUAAUGAAAGCAUGAUUUAACUAAUUGCUGUUUCUGUGAAAAUUGUUUCUUGUGUAUCCUACACUUUAAAGUACUCAAGUGCUUGUAAAGUGGUAUGAGACUGUCAUGACCCUGAUGGGAAGAAUGCACUGGUGAUCAAGCAUCACUAUUGUUUCAUUAAUUUGUCUCCGACGUAUAAAUGAUCAUUAGAAUCAGAGAUGAUUAAUUUGUCUGACUUUGAUAGUUAGCUAGGAAUAAAACUCAGACCAGGUUUCAGUAGUAAAUAGAAACAAUUUUUACCAACUGAUCCUGUGACAAUGAGCCGAAUAGAUUAUUACUUACUCAUAAACAAACGUAAACUAUUCCGUUUAAACUCAAUCACACAUUCCUUCAAAAAGAGAGUAGAUGAAACAGCUGUCCUGAAAUAUAGUGGAUGGAAAAACAGCCGAAAACCAACGAAUUCUGCAGACCAACAGUUCACACUGUCAGGGUGGAAUGAGGUGACUCUCAUGUUUGUAGCAAUGGUAGCAUGUUGUCAACUGCCAAACCAUAGAAGAUGCUCAAUUGGUCAUUUGGACCUCAGUCUUUGCUUGACUUUAGAAGUUCUUAAUUUCCAAUCCUUGGAGUAUUCCUUUCCUUCAUUCUGCUCAUUUUCUUCUCCUUCUAUCUACUCUCUUCUUCCAUCCCUACACGUAUUGUUGAAUUCAGUAGGGAAUUGAGUUUCCGUGGCAUUUGUGCACAGUACCUUCCUGAGUUCUUUCAAAAGAUCUAAAUGCACUCUUUUGAAGAACAGCUACUAAAUUCUUUCAAGAGAUAACACGGUGUAG